GCGUGUAGUCGGCCUUUGUUGCACAGCUGAUGUGCUUCUGUUUGGGAGUAGCAGUUGCCUUUCGGCUUUGCUAUUUUCCGUAACUAGCUUCAUGCAUUCUGGUACAUUCAUUUGAUACUCUUACUAAGUGAUAAUGUGGCUGUCUGUUUUUCCGUCUGCGGUUCAUGUUAUUCAUGUAUUGUUUGAGUGUCGGUGUUUGUCACCAUGUGCUGGUUGAAGUUUGCAUUAUAUUGUUCGCAGUGCGUGUUUGUUAGUGCGAUGUUUUGAUUUGUCUGUUAAGAUGUGCAAAUGUUUUGCAGUCUAAUCAUCUUGUAACGAUUUUUAUUCUGCAUAGAGUAUUUCUUAUUGAUCAAGUGAAUUUUUCUGUUGUGCUCUUGAUCCUAAUUGUAUAAAUUCCCAUUUUGGCAAUUGUUUGUCACGUAUUGCUUUAUGGGAAAGCUGUGUGAUGUUGUUGCCUGCUGUUAUAUUGCAGUUUGUGUGACAACAAGACUUUCCAUGGUGCGUGGUUUUGUAAUUUCAUCAAAUUGUGUGCUGUUGAUGAUUUUGUACAAAAUGUGCCAUUUGUGAAAGUAUUGCUUUAAUUGAAUCCAAUACCUGGUUGAUCCUGCCAGUAGUCAUAUGCUUGUCUCAAAGAUUAAGCCAUGCAUGUGUAAGCACACACUGUUUAAAAGUGAAGCCGCGAAUGGCUCAUUACAACAGCCACAGUUUAUUAGAACUUACAAUCAUGGAUAACUGUGGUAAUUCUAGAGCUAAUACACGCACAAAAACUUCAACUGAAUUGGUUGAAGUGCUUUUAUUAGAACAAAAACCGAACGGCGUUUGACGAAUGUUGAACGUCGAAACUGUUUGGUGAAUCUGAAUAACUAUUUCUGAUCGCAUGGUCUAGCACCGGCGACAUCACUUUCAAGUGUCUGCCUUAUCAACCUUCGAUGGUAGUCUAUGCGACUACCAUGGUGAUAACGGGUAACGGAGAAUCAGGGUUCGACUCCGGAGAGGGAGCCUGAGAAACGGCUACCACAUCCAAGGAAGGCAGCAGGCGCGCAAAUUACCCACUCCCAGCUUGGGGAGGUAGUGACGAAAAAUAACGAGACGAUUCUCGUUUGAGAAACGUUAUCGAAAUGAGUACGCUUUACACACGCUAACGAGUAGCAAUUGGAGGGCAAGUCUGGUGCCAGCAGCCGCGGUAAUUCCAGCUCCAAUAGCGNGGUCGCGACAGUGUUGCUUUGAAGAGUUUUGAGCGUGAGCUCGCUCGGAGCCGCUGUUGGUGCAGAUCUUGGUGGUAGUAGCAAAUAUUCAAGUGAGAACCUUGAAGGCUGAAGUGGAGCAAGGUUCCAUGUGAACAGCAGUUGGACAUGGGUCAGUCGAUCCUAAGAAAACGGCGAAAGCUUGUUCGAAUUUGCGACAUGAAUUGUAAGACUGUGUGAAUUGUGUGUGUGUGCAGUUGUCGUAUGUUUUCGAAAGGGAAUCCGGUUGAUAUUCCGGAACCGAGUAACGGAGACAAAGAGUAGCGCUUUAAUCUCUCUGUGGGGUUGGCGUUCAACUCAAUCGCGCGGUAACGCAAGCGAACUCGGAAAAUGACCGUCGUGAGUUUCGAAAAGAGUUUUCUUUUCUUUUUAAGGGACGCAUUCCCUGGAACCGGGUUGUCCGGAGAUAGGGAUUCUGGUAUCCAUAAAACGCCGACUUUUUCACGGUGUUCGGAGCGCUCUCGUCGGUACGUGAAAAUCCGAGCGACGCCUGGUAAAUCUCGUACUUGGUCGUACUGAUAUCCGCAGCAGGUCUCCAAGGUGAAUAGCCUCUGGCCGAUAGAAUAAUGUAGGUAAGGGAAGUCGGCAAAACGGAUCCGUAACUUCGGAACAAGGAUUGGCUCUAAGGGCUGGGCCGAUCGGGCUGAGGUUUCAAGCGUGCAGUGUAUGCUUGGCUGAGUUGUGUUGAGGACUUGUUCACUUGCCGCCGUUUGUUCGGUUGGUCUAGUGUAUUCGAGUCUGAAGCAGAGCUGGCCGACAGACCGGCACGUGCAGAACCUGAGCUGCGCGGCUGUCCGUUUACGUGUACAGACCGUUUCGGUCGGCAUUCAACAGCCAACUUAGAACUGGCACGGACACAAGGAAUCUGACUGUAUAAUUAAAACAAAGCAUUGCGAUGGCCGAUGAUCGGUGAUGACGCAAUGUGAUUUCUGCCCAGUGCUCUGAAUGUCAAAGUGAAGAAAUUCAAUCAAGCGCGGGUAAACGGCGGGAGUAACUAUGACUCUCUUAAGGUAGCCAAAUGCCUCGUCAUCUAAUUAGUGACGCGUAUGAAUGGAUCAACAAGAUUCCUUCUGUCCCUAUCUACUAUCUAGCGAAACCACAGCCAAGGGAACGGGCUUGGCAAAAUCAGCGGGGAAAGAAGACCCUGUUGAGCUUGACUCUAGUCUGACUCUGUGAAGAGACAUGAAAGGUGUAGCAUAGGUGGGAGAUUGUCAAAUUGCCAUCGUUCGCGCGGUGGUCCGGUGAUCGCCAAUGAAAUACCACUACUUUGAUCGUUUCUUUACUUAUUCGGUAAAGCGAAAAAAUUGUGGCCAAUUUGGCGGUUUAUGUCGCUGUUGGUCAUUGUUUUCAUGUUAGAUUGAAGCUUUGUUUACAGCCGUCGCUUUGUGUCGCCAUUUGACGCAUUGUUGUACUGGGUUAUCCCGGUGUGUGGUGUAGUCAGUAUGGAUGAUCGGCGAUAGGUUUGAAGUGAUUCGCUCCGGAAACAGUGUCAGACGGGGAGUUUGACUGGGGCGGUACAUCUGUUAAACGAUAACGCAGGUGUCCUAAGGUAAGCUCAGCGAGGACAGAAACCUCGCUUAGAGUAAACGGGCACAAGCUUACUUGAUUUUGAUUUCCAGUACGAAUAGAAACCGCGAAAGCGUGGCCUAUCGAUCCUUUUGAUUGUGUAGAUUUCAUGCAAGAGGUGUCAGAAAAGUUACCACAGGGAUAACUGGCUUGUGGCAGCCAAGCGUCCAUAGCGACGUUGCUUUUUGAUCCUUCGAUGUCGGCUCUUCCUAUCAUUGCGAAGCAGAAUUCGCCAAGCGUUGGAUUGUUCACCCACCAAUAGGGAACGUGAGCUGGGUUUAGACCGUCGUGAGACAGGUUAGUUUUACCCUACUGAUGACAAGUCGUUGCGAUAGUAAUCCUGCUCAGUACGAGAGGAACCGCGGGAUCAGACAUUUGGUUCAUGCGCUCGGCUGAAAGGCCGGUGGCGCGAAGCUAGCAUCUGCAAGAUUAUGACUGAACGCCUCUAAGUCAGAAUCUUUUCUAGUCAUUGGCAACGAUAAGUUGCGUCCAGACUCGAUGCGAGGAAACGAUUAGGCUUUGCUAUACGGCGAAGCCAUUAUCAGACCACGGUAGCAGGCAGUAUGGGAUUGUUACGAAAAAGCAAUUUUUUGAAGUCAGUUGAAUUCAAUCAAACUGCUAACAAUUCCACUGCGAAUGACUCCAUUCGAAUCAAU
rnacentral:rRNA from 1 species